CGAGACGGAUGGACACCAAAACCACUGUGUGCUGAAAUGUGUGCAGCACCUAACAUCCCAAAUGCAGAUAUUGUUCGAGGUCAGAGACAAAAAUAUGGAGUCAAUUCAAGAAUAACAUUUAAAUGUCAUCCUGGAUUUGAACCAGAGGAGCCUUUUGAAAUCACCUGUGAUUACCGGGGCCAGUGGAUAGGCUUACGUCAGCAAUGCACUGUCUCAGAGAAAUGUGGACCACCACCAGACGUGAACGAUGCAGAUACAAUAGAAAUAACAAGAAAGGAAUACAAUACAGGGGAGAGAGUUGAAUACAGCUGCUUU